rnacentral:rRNA from 1 species
GGUUAAGCGACUAAGCGUACACGGUGGAUGCCCUGGCAGUCAGAGGCGAUGAAGGRCGUGCUAAUCUGCGAUAAGCGCCGGUAAGGUGAUAUGAACCGUUAUAACCGGCGAUWYCCGAAUGGGGAAACCCAGUGUGAYUCGUCACACUAUCAUUAACUGAAUCCAUAGGUUAAUGAGGCGAACCGGGGGAACUGAAACAUCUAAGUACCCCGAGGAAAAGAAAUCAACCGAGAUUCCCCCAGUAGCGGCGAGCGAACGGGGAGGAGCCCAGAGCCUGAAUCAGCAUGUGUGUUAGUGGAAGCGUCUGGAAAGGCGCGCGAUACAGGGUGACAGCCCCGUACACAAAAGCGCAUGUGCUGUGAGCUCGAUGAGUAGGGCGGGACACGUGGUAUCCUGUCUGAAUAUGGGGGGACCAUCCUCCAAGGCUAAAUACUCCUGACUGACCGAUAGUGAACCAGUACCGUGAGGGAAAGGCGAAAAGAACCCCGGCGAGGGGAGUGAAAAAGAACCUGAAACCGUGUACGUACAAGCAGUGGGAGCACAGGUUUACCUGUGUGACUGCGUACCUUUUGUAUAAUGGGUCAGCGACUUAUAUUCUGUAGCAAGGUUAACCGAAUAGGGGAGCCGGAGGGAAACCGAGUCUUAAUUGGGCGUUAAGUUGCAGGGUAUAGACCCGAAACCCGGUGAUCUAGCCAUGGGCAGGUUGAAGGUUGGGUAACACUAACUGGAGGACCGAACCGACUAAUGUUGAAAAAUUAGCGGAUGACCUGUGGCUGGGGGUGAAAGGCCAAUCAAACCGGGAGAUAGCUGGUUCUCCCCGAAAGCUAUUUAGGUAGCGCCUCGUGAAUUCAUCUCCGGGGGUAGAGCACUGUUUCGGCUAGGGGGCCAUCCCGGCUUACCAACCCGAUGCAAACUGCGAAUACCGGAGAAUGUUAUCACGGGAGACACACGGCGGGUGCUAACGUCCGUCGUGAAGAGGGAAACAACCCAGACCGCCAGCUAAGGUCCCAAAGUCAUGGUUAAGUGGGAAACGAUGUGGGAAGGCCCAGACAGCCAGGAUGUUGGCUUAGAAGCAGCCAUCAUUUAAAGAAAGCGUAAUAGCUCACUGGUCGAGUCGGCCUGCGCGGAAGAUGUAACGGGGCUAAACCAUGCACCGAAGCUGCGGCAGCGAACGUAUCACCCAAGACAACUUUGCGGAGUUGACGAUUGACGGAGCGAAGCGACGUCAAAGCGUUCAUUAAAGUCGAGUUGGCUUAGGGAUACGUUCGUUGGGUAGGGGAGCGUUCUGUAAGCCUGUGAAGGUGGCCUGUGAGGGUUGCUGGAGGUAUCAGAAGUGCGAAUGCUGACAUAAGUAACGAUAAAGCGGGUGAAAAGCCCGCUCGCCGGAAGACCAA